GGGGUUGUAGUCUAGCUUGGCAGGAUCUCAGGUUCGGAGCCUGAAGGCCGGGGUUCGAAUCCCCGCAAUCCCA
rnacentral:tRNA from 1 species